GAUGAACGCUAGCUACAGGCUUAACACAUGCAAGUCGAGGGGCAGCAUUUCAGUUUGCUUGCAAACUGGAGAUGGCGACCGGCGCACGGGUGAGUAACACGUAUCCAACCUGCCGAUAACUCGGGGAUAGCCUUUCGAAAGAAAGAUUAAUACCCGAUGGCAUAAUUAGACCGCAUGGUCUUAUUAUUAAAGAAUUUCGGUUAUCGAUGGGGAUGCGUUCCAUUAGGCAGUUGGUGAGGUAACGGCUCACCAAACCUUCGAUGGAUAGGGGUUCUGAGAGGAAGGUCCCCCACAUUGGAACUGAGACACGGUCCAAACUCCUACGGGAGGCAGCAGUGAGGAAUAUUGGUCAAUGGGCGCAGGCCUGAACCAGCCAAGUAGCGUGAAGGAUGACUGCCCUAUGGGUUGUAAACUUCUUUUAUAUGGGAAUAAAGUUUUCCACGUGUGGAAUUUUGUAUGUACCAUAUGAAUAAGGAUCGGCUAACUCCGUGCCAGCAGCCGCGGUAAUACGGAGGAUCCGAGCGUUAUCCGGAUUUAUUGGGUUUAAAGGGAGCGUAGGUGGACAGUUAAGUCAGUUGUGAAAGUUUGCGGCUCAACCGUAAAAUUGCAGUUGAUACUGGCUGUCUUGAGUACAGUAGAGGUGGGCGGAAUUCGUGGUGUAGCGGUGAAAUGCUUAGAUAUCACGAAGAACUCCGAUUGCGAAGGCAGCUCACUGGACUGCAACUGACACUGAUGCUCGAAAGUGUGGGUAUCAAACAGG
rnacentral:rRNA from 1 species